AGUAACGUUCUGAAAAGAACGCUAAUACCGCAUAACAUCAAUUUAUCGCAUGAUAGGUUGAUCAAAGGAGCAAUCCGCUGGAAGAUGGACUCGCGUCCGAUUAGCCAGUUGGCGGGGUAACGGCCCACCAAAGCGACGAUCGGUAGCCGGACUGAGAGGUUGAACGGCCACAUUGGGACUGAGACACGGCCCAGACUCCUACGGGAGGCAGCAUG
rnacentral:rRNA from 1 species